rnacentral:lncRNA from 1 species
UAAAUUUGUUGGAAACAACAUCCGGAGAGACCUAUCUUCACUUUAACAUUUAUUAAUUUAAUAACCAAUGUGCAGUAUUCAUAUUUAUAUGCAAAUACAUGUGACAUUAGUCCAACAUGCAGAUAACAGAGGCUGCUGCAUCCAUGUAUCUUAAGCCAUUCCAAUCCACUGCUGUUAUACAAUUUGUUGAUCCACUGUGUUUUCCUUUUAGGGAAGACAGUGAAGAACUUCAACAGUCAAUUCUGCUCCACAUUAAACUGGUCAGUUUCUGGCCAUCUCUCUCAGAAUUUGUUGCAUUGGAGAAAACCUCUCUUCGCAGCCUCCUGUUUUAGCAGAUGCAGAUGCAAACACAGUUGUUCUGUUCUUCAGGGAUUCUUCUUGCUUUUCUGUUCUGCCUUAAGCUCUUUGGCAUUACAUCUGGACCCCAACGCUGUUAACAUUUCAACUGUUGUCAGGUUGGCUCCUUUCAUUAUCAAUCGCUCUCCAUCAGCAAACAUAACAUCUACAAGUGGUUCCGAUCCGUCGUGUCUCACAUCUGCAGACACUUCACAGUUCCUGUUAGUGGCUUGGAUUCUUUUAUGGUUUAUACAUUGAAGAAAUUUUCUGGUGCUCUCCACGUUGGACUCGAAAGGGCAGAAGCGGACUACGAUACUCUUCACGGGCCGCAGCACCACACGGAUCCGGGACGCCAUCUUCUUUCCGCCCCAGCACUACGAGUCCCG